GGAUUGUCUAGCCCUGGCGGAAGAGAGGCUGCUGGGCUGGGGCGUGGCGAGCAGGAUGGCGGCACAGCUUGGUCCGCACGAGCUGCUGCACGUCUUCUCCUUCCUGGAGGCCCGGGACCUGCUGCGCGCUGCGCAGGUGAACAAGGUCUGGAAUGAGGUAUCAAUGACCAGGGAACUGUGGAGGCAGCUGUGUCUGAGACGAUGGGCCUCCUGCAAUUCCUUCCCAGUGGUCCUGGGCACGCAGACAUGGAGGCAGUACUAUUUCUGCCGGUCUGAACUGGAGUUCCGCGUGGAAGCUGGGAGGCCACGGGACUUCAUCAGCAAAGCUAUUUCUGGGCACGAAGGGAAGAUAGAUCAGCUGGCCUACAUCUCACCCCACGAGUACCGCUUUGAUGAAAUGGCAAGGUCUGUGGUUUGCACUGUGUCUUCAGACUGUACCGUGCGUGCCUGGGAUCUUCAUCAGGGCACAGAGAUCUGGUCCAGCCCUGUGCAGCCUGCUCCCCUGGUGACUCUGGUGGCCUACCCUCUGCUGCAGCUGGUUGUCACAGUGGACACACAGGGUUUGAUCAUCAGUUGGAAAGCGGAUACAGGGUCCAAGUGGGCCUCCUUCUUCCUGCGGACCUCCUGCUCAUCCAUGGAGGCCUGUGGCCACCCAGAGGGCCCCUUCUUGAUGGUAGCCUGUGCUGACGGGAACCUCUAUACUCUGACAGUGCCUCAGCUGCAAGUGAUCUCCAAAGUGGCCACAUUUCCUCGCACCUCUGUGAGCCUCGCGUGCUCACCUGACCAAAAGUGGGUGUCUGUGUUGGCAAAAGGGUCAGACUUAGGCCUAAAGGUGUUCUUCACUCAGCCCUUGCUCCACCCGUUAGAAGACAGCUUUCCUGUCUCCACCACCCUCCCUGUCAGGCUGAGUUCCAAAGCCUGUUGGGCUCCCGCCGAGGCAGCCAGGCUGAUGGUGAUGCAUAAAGAUGAGAGUGGCGUGCACCUGGUCAUCACUACCUUCAUUUUAAAGGCCAGCGAGUCCAGGGACAGAGUGAGCAUCCAGGCACAACAGCUGGCCAGCUUCCCCCUGCCGGGCACUAUGACUCCUCACCUCAUGCAGGGCCACGGCUCCCACGUGAUCCUGCUGGCCUCCAUGUCAGAGCUGGUGCUCUUCAACAUACACGGCCUGCAGCUGGUGGCCUUCCAGGACCACCAGAGGCCCAUCACGUCCAUGUGGGUGGACCCUAACCAUGUCAUCACCUCUUCCUUGGACCUGUCCUUGCGUGUCUAUUUGUGGGAUAAGAAGAAUACGUGCCCUGUCCUCAAGAGCUGUUAUCAUCUGCUUGGAGGAUCUCACAGAUGGGCCAGGCUGGCCUUGAACUUCCUGUGUCAAGUGGUCCUCCCACCUCCUUCUCCUGAAUAGCUGAGACCAGAUGUGCACAUCACAUCUGUUCAAAGGAAUGAUUCUAAAGGAAAUAUUGGAGAGAGUCCGUUGGAUUUACCCACGUGAAAAGUGACGGCGUGAGCAUUGCUGGGAUUGAAGCCAGAAGCAAUGGAACAAGCAUUCUGAGGUCAUAUUGCUUCAAAGUUCAGCUGAACUAGACUCUGCCAGUAAGAGAUGCUCUUGCUCUGUGUGCAUGCAAACUCCUUACCAAACACGUUGUCAACUUUGGGAAAUGAGCUGGUAAGGUGACUCCUGUACGAUCACAGUGAGCCAGCAUUCUCUAUUGUCUUGUGUUUCGUUGUCUAACUCAGAAAGACAAAGGCGAGUAAGUGGCCAUCUUCAACUGGUCUUCCAGUGCUAAGCAACGGGCCUAAGGCUUCUCAGAUUGCUGGUCACAGACGGAGUGGACUGUGGUAGUGCUAGAGAACCCGGUUGCUCACAGUGGCAGAGCUGCAUCAGAGUUGCUCUUGUUAUCCAUGCUGUUAUAAUUAAAAUAUCUUUAUCUGCC